rnacentral:sRNA from 1 species
AAAAAAAACAAGAGAGAAAGAAAGAAAAGUGGCGAACCGUUUCUGGCAAAAGAGACGAUUCUUAGCAUUUAUUGAGAGUUGUCAUUCAACUAAUGGUUUAUUU